rnacentral:miRNA from 1 species
GGGCGUAUGUGUGUGCGUGCUUGUGUGUGCACGCGUGCACAAGUAUGUGUGCAUGUGCAUGU